rnacentral:rRNA from 1 species
CCCGUUCCCAUACCGAACACGGAAGUUAAGCUCUCUAGCGCCGAUGGUAGUUGGGACCUUGUCCCUGUGAGAGUAGGACGUCGCCGAGC